GGUGGCUCAGUGGUAGAGCGUUUGCCUAACAUGCAUGAGGUCCUGGGUUCGAUUCCCCAGCACCA
rnacentral:tRNA from 1 species